GAUAAACAUUAUUUCUCAGUAUAGUUAGUACUUUCAUCUCUUAUAGAGAUUUUCUGACUAGCUACUAUGCUUGUUGCAAGAUCAGUGACUGAUUGUCACUUAUUUUCCUAUACAUUGUGAGGUUGAUCAAAUAUCUGGUACUGU